ensembl:lncRNA
AGAACAAACGCGAUGUCAGACACCUGAAUCCAACGUGCAAAUUUCAAAACUGGAGAAGGUAAUUUAAUUGUGUAUGCUUGUAGCCUAUCACUAUGCUUAGCCUUGCCCACUUCAGCUCAUCAGUUUUGGGAUUCCCACUGACCUGAACAGAAUCAACAAACUGUUAUUUAUUUAUUUUUCAUUAAAAAAAUACAGGAUUUACUGGUAGGGUACAAGAAAGAGCCGGAAGAAAAUUACGCAUUGGUUGAGCUCAGAAUGAAGGACCUGGAGACCGGCAAUCUGAACCUGGAAGCUCAAUUGCAAGAAAAAUCUCAAGUUAUACUGGCCUUGGAGAAGGAGCUGGAAAACGAGAAACUAAAAUGCGGCGCUAGACUCAAUGAAGUUCAAGCUGAGUUGGCUGAGUGUUUGUCCGAAAAAGAUUUUUUACUGUCCGAGAAAGAGGUCGUAGCGGAGGCGCAUGAAGACACCAUCAAGUCCCUGACAUGCAGGCUAAAGCAACACAAAUGUGUGUGUAUUGAAAAAACUGGCGGUGUGCAACAAGAGCAGCUGAAAGACAUUGAUGAGCUCCUGGAUACAAAAUGCGCUAAAUCGCCACAUGCGAAACAAAAGAGGAAUAGUCAUUUUGAUGUACCCGGAACGUCGGUUCACCAGAUCGGGAUCCAGAUUCAGCCCUCCUCUUCAGCGUUCCAGGAGACCAUCGAUAGAAAGGAAGAUGGGGAAGGACAAGUGACAAGCAGCGGUCUGAGGUCUGAAGCUGAAAUCGCAGGAAAUCAAGUUGAAGAACAGAACAUGAGACCUCAGGAAAGAAGGCAGUCUGAGGUAAAGAAGGUCAAGGCAUUGGAGACGAGGGUGAAAGAGAUGCAACACCAGGUUGAGGAAAGCAAUAACAAAUUAGAAGUGCUUGAAGAAAUGCUGCAAGAUCUAAAUGCCACUGUUUCUUACCAACCGACUCAACGACUGGAUCAGAUAUUCUCAGAUUCUAAAGCAACAGAGAGACAAGCCUCAGGGUCGUUCGACGAAGGCUAUGGAUCAGGCACGGAUCAGAACCUCUCGUCUGUUUGUUUGGACACAGUGAAGGAUCAAGAAACUAACUAUAGGAGAUUGAAGAUCAGGUUAAUGGCUUCUGAUCGUCUAAGAAAAGUUUUGGCAGAGAAGGCGUCUGAGGUUGAGACCCUGCAGAAUGAACGUGAACAUCUUCUGUGUGAUGAAUCCAAGCUGGCAGACGGUCAGAGACACGCACGCCAUGACCUCAUAUACCUUGACAAUGCUCUUGACUCUGCCAGGAGAGAGAUUGAAAGUUUAAUGAUGCAAAUGAAGCUGAUGGAGGAAUUGGACCGCAAGGAAAUGGUUCAGAAGUUUGUGGUGCCGCGGGAUUCCAAACUAAGAGUGUUUCCCGUCAAUACCUCAAACACAGAGACCCUGAGGUUGAGAAGUAACAGCCUUCAACGCAGCAACCUCAACACAAACCAGUACCACCACCCUUCACAUGGUUCCUCACGAUGGUCCACCAACCCUUCCAGGAGCCCCAGUCUCACGCAAGAGGAUAUCGGCCUUCAGCGAAUCGUAGCAGAGGUCAAAGGGUUGACCUACGGGAUUUCACGGGUUCUACGCGAAGCCCACGAUGGAGGAAGUCCCGGUAACUCACGGUCAAGUGUGAGUGCUCAAAUCAUUUUUCAUUCUCGAAUGGGUUGCUUACUCUUGCUGGCAUUUCCUGCCAACAAACGCUAA